rfam:Youngiibacter fragilis 232.1 contig_48, whole genome shotgun sequence.
GUCAACUAACCCUCGACUGAAGUCGAAGGCAUGAGGAGCAAUCCAUUGUGCCUGGUUGAUUAGCCUAAGUGCUUCGGGCACUACGUUGUUUUUGUCAUAACACCAAUGGACGUCCAUCCUAAUCCGUGGCUCUGUUGUCUGUGAUUAAAAGUUCUCUUGGGUUAACGGGAACGGUGUUGCAGGCUUAAAAAGCAAUUACAACAUUGGCGAAGGAUGCCAAC